GUGCUUUGAGGACGGAACGGGCAGCCGUCGCCCCUCAUUGAGGUUAGGAGAUGUGGGAGUGUCACCCCACCAAAACAC
rnacentral:ncRNA from 1 species